GAUGCACGCUAGCGGGAGGCCUAACACAUGCAAGCCGAGCGGUAUUUGUCCUUCGGGACAGAGAGAGCGGCGUACGGGUGCGGAACACGUGUGCAACCUGCCUUUAUCUGGGGGAUAGCCUUUCGAAAGGAAGAUUAAUACCCCAUAAUAUAUCGAAUGGCAUCAUUCGAUAUUGAAAACUCCGGUGGAUAGAGAUGGGCACGCGCAAGAUUAGAUAGUUGGUGAGGUAACGGCUCACCAAGUCAGUGAUCUUUAGGGGGCCUGAGAGGGUGAUCCCCCACACUGGUACUGAGACACGGACCAGACUCCUACGGGAGGCAGCAGUGAGGAAUAUUGGACAAUGGGUGAGAGCCUGAUCCAGCCAUCCCGCGUGAAGGACUAAGGCCCUAUGGGUUGUAAACUUCUUUUAUACUGGGAUAAACCUACUUACGUGUAAGUAGCUGAAGGUACAGUAUGAAUAAGCACCGGCUAACUCCGUG
rnacentral:rRNA from 1 species